rnacentral:misc_RNA from 1 species
GAUGAAGAACGUAGCGAAAUGCGAUAAGUAAUGUGAAUUGCAGAAUUCAGUGAAUCAUCGAAUCUUUGAACGCACAUUGCGCCCGCCAGUAUUCUGGCGGGCAUGCCUGUCCGAGCGUCAUUUCAACCAUCAAGCCCCCGGGCUUGUGUUGGGGACCUGCGGCUGCCCGCAGGCCCUGAAAACCAGUGGCGGGCUCGCUGUCACACCGAGCGUAGUAGCAUACAUCUCGCUCUGGGCGUGCUGCGGGUUCCGGCCGUUAAACCACCUUCAUAACCCAAGGUUGACCUCGGAUCAGGUAGGAAGACCCGCUGAACUUAAGCAUAUCAAUAAGCGGAGGA